rnacentral:miRNA from 1 species
GUUGACAAGGUACAUGUACCUUGUCAACUGGAAGGAAACCCUUCCAGCCGGCGGGGUACAUGUACCUUGCUGGUCAACUGGAAGGGAAUCCUUCCGGUUGACAAGGUACAUGUACCUUGUCAAC